GCCAGGCAUGGUGGCACAUGCCUGUAAUCCCAGCUGCUCAGGAGGCUGAGGCAGGAGGAUUGAGAGUUCAAAGCCAGCCUCAGCCUUUGCAAGGUCCAAAGCAAUUUACUGAGACUCUGUCUCUA
rnacentral:sRNA from 1 species